rnacentral:rRNA from 1 species
GACGAACGCUGGCGGCGCGCCUAACACAUGCAAGUCGAACGGAGCUGAGAGAAGCUUGCUUUUCUUAGCUUAGUGGCGAACGGGUGAGUAACGCGUGAGUAACCUGCCCUGGAGUGGGGGACAACAGUUGGAAACGACUGCUAAUACCGCAUAAGCCCACGAUCCGGCAUCGGAUUGAGGGAAAAGGAUUUAUUCGCUUCAGGAUGGACUCGCGUCCAAUUAGCUAGUUGGUGAGGUAACGGCCCACCAAGGCGACGAUUGGUAGCCGGACUGAGAGGUUGAACGGCCACAUUGGGACUGAGACACGGCCCAGACUCCUACGGGAGGCAGCAGUGGGGGAUAUUGCACAAUGGGGAAAGCCCUGAUGCAGCGACGCCGCGUGGAGGAAGAAGGUUUUCGGAUUGUAAACUCCUGUCGUUAGGGACGAUAAUGACGGUACCUAACAAGAAAGCACCGGCUAACUACGUG